rnacentral:RNase_P_RNA from 1 species
AGAGCAGGCCGGGCGGCCGCGCUGCCCGACUUCCCGGGCGGCGAGGAAAGUCCGGGCUCCGCAGGGCAGGGUGGUGGGUAACGCCCACCCGGGGUGACCCGAGGGAAAGUGCCACAGAAACAUACCGCCGGUCCCCUCGGGCCGGCAAGGGUGAAAAGGUGCGGUAAGAGCGCACCGGCGGCGUGGCGACACGCCGGCCAGGCAAACCCCACCCGGAGCAAGGCCGCGUAGGGGGAGAUGAGGUGGCCCGCCGAUCCCCGGGUAGGCCGCUAGAGGCCUCCGGCGACGGAGGUCCCAGAGGGAUGGCCGCCGCCCCGAGCUCGGCGAGGGGUACAGAACCCGGCUUACAGGCCUGCUCUCCAC